AACAGGAUUAGAUACCCUGGUAGUCCAUGCCGUAAACGUUGGGCACUAGGUGUGGGGGACAUUCCACGUUUUCCGCGCCGUAGCUAACGCAUUAAGUGCCCCGCCUGGGGAGUACGGCCGCAAGGCUAAAACUCAAAGGAAUUGACGGGGGCCCGCACAAGCGGCGGAGCAUGCGGAUUAAUUCGAUGCAACGCGAAGAACCUUACCAAGGCUUGACAUGGACCGGACCGCCGCAGAAAUGUGGUUUCCCCUUUGGGGCCGGUUCACAGGUGGUGCAUGGUUGUCGUCAGCUCGUGUCGUGAGAUGUUGGGUUAAGUCCCGCAACGAGCGCAACCCUCGUUCUAUGUUGCCAGCGCGUGAUGGCGGGGACUCAUAGGAGACUGCCGGGGUCAACUCGGAGGAAGGUGGGGACGACGUCAAAUCAUCAUGCCCCUUAUGUCUUGGGCUUCACGCAUGCUACAAUGGCCGGUACAAAGGGUUGCGAUACUGUGAGGUGGAGCUAAUCCCAAAAAGCCGGUCUCAGUUCGGAUUGGGGUCUGCAACUCGACCCCAUGAAGUCGGAGUCGCUAGUAAUCGCAGAUCAGCAACGCUGCGGUGAAUACGUUCCCGGGCCUUGUACACACCGCCCGUCAAGUCACGAAAGUUGGUAACACCCGAAGCCGGUGGCCUAACCCCUUGUGGGAGGGAGCUGUCGAAGGUGGGACUGGCG
rnacentral:rRNA from 1 species